CCCGGGGAGGCGUAGCGACUGCUGCAGACGCGAGCAGCGCGGCUCGCGCGUGAGCAGACGCGGGGUUCCGGGCCUCCCCGCUCCUUCGAACAGGGCUGGGGAACGCCUGGAGAGCCUGGAAGCAGGGAAGUGGUUUUAAAGCGCACUAUCUCCCGCCCGCAGGGAUGGAGGGACGGACGGACACACGGACACACCUCAGCCAGGACCACCUCGGCACCUGGCAGCCCCCGCCGCGGUCUGGGGGGCCCUGGGAGAGCCACUGGGUGACAGAGCCACACGUACCUCAUCUGGAAACAGACCGUGAUAACGUACACGCGCUCCUCAGGCUGCUGUCGAGAUCAGCAAGCACAAGCGGAGCUACGCAGGGCACAGCGAUGAAUAACUAAAGGAAGAAGGCGCACAGAACACCUGACUUUCCCUCAGGACUCUGAGAGAGCUGGACAGUUCUCCUACGGUCCUUCAAGCGCUCCUCUACCUGUGGCUCAAGCAGUAGAGCAAAGGGUUAAAAAUUCAGCUCCCUUGGCGCACGCCUGUAAUCCCAGCAGGCAGGAGGCUGGGGCAGAAGGAUCACUGAGCUCAAGG